rnacentral:rRNA from 1 species
UACAGAGGGUGCGAGCGUUGUUCGGAAUUACUGGGCGUAAAGGGCUCGUAGGCGGCCAACUAAGUCAGACGUGAAAUCCCUCGGCUUAACCGGGGAACUGCGUCUGAUACUGGAUGGCUUGAGUGUGGGAGAGGAAUGCGGAAUUCCAGGUGUAGCGGUGAAAUGCGUAGAUAUCUGGAGGAACACCGGUGGCGAAGGCGGCAUUCUGGACCAUUACUGACGCUGAGGAGCGAAAGCCAGGGGAGCAAACGGG